rnacentral:rRNA from 1 species
GCAGGCCUAAACAUGCAAGUCGAACGGUAACAGGUCUUCGGAUGCUGACGAGUGGCGAACGGGUGAGUAAUACAUCGGAACGUGCCCGAUCGUGGGGGAUAACGGAGCGAAAGCUUUGCUAAUACCGCAUACGAUCUACGGAUGAAAGCAGGGGACCGCAAGGCCUUGCGCGGACGGAGCGGCCGAUGGCAGAUUAGGUAGUUGGUGGGAUAAAAGCUUACCAAGCCGACGAUCUGUAGCUGGUCUGAGAGGACGACCAGCCACACUGGAACUGAGACACGGUCCAGACUCCUACGGGAGGCAGCAGUGGGGAAUUUUGGACAAUGGGCGCAAGCCUGAUCCAGCAAUGCCGCGUGCAGGAUGAAGGCCUUCGGGUUGUAAACUGCUUUUGUACGGAACGAAAAGACUCCUUCUAAUAAAGGGGGUUCAUGACGGUACCGUAAGAAUAAGCACCGGCUAACUACGUGCCAGCAGCCGCGGUAAU